ACAUGACAACCAGACUGUCAUCCGAGUCGAGCGAACAGAGGGGAGCUUGCUCCCGGAUGUUAGCGGCGGACGGAAAGAGGAACACGUGGGUAACCUGCCUGUAAGACUGGGAUAACUCCGGGAAACCGGAGCUAAUACCGGAUAGUUCCUUGAACCGCAUGGUUCAAGGAUGAAAGACGGUUUCGGCUGUCACUUACAGAUGGACCCGCGGCGCAUUAGCUAGUUGGUGGGGUAAUGGCUCACCAAGGCGACGAUGCGUAGCCGACCUGAGAGGGUGAUCGGCCACACUGGGACUGAGACACGGCCCAGACUCCUACGGGAGGCAGCAGUAGGGAAUCUUCCGCAAUGGACGAAAGUCUGACGGAGCAACGCCGCGUGAGUGAUGAAGGUUUUCGGAUCGUAAAGCUCUGUUGUUAGGGAAGAACAAGUGCGAGAGUAACUGCUCGCACCUUGACGGUACCUAACCAGAAAGCCACGGCUAACUACGUGCCAGCAGCCGCGGUAAUACGUAGGUGGCAAGCGUUGUCCGGAAUUAUUGGGCGUAAAGGGCUCGCAGGCGGUUUCUUAAGUCUGAUGUGAAAGCCCCCGGCUCAACCGGGG
rnacentral:rRNA from 1 species